rnacentral:lncRNA from 1 species
UCGGCCAUCGCCACGGCAGAAACUGGGGCCCGGGCCUUCCCCGUCCGUCCACAGGUCUCAUGGGCGCCCGGACUGGGGCUGAUGUAGUUUCCCGACCUCUGACACAUAGAAUCUGGAGAUUAAAGCUGCUCUGCUAAUAAUUAGGUUCCCACCUCUCAAGAUCAUUAGGAGCUUCUUUUCCAAUUUCUCUGUUUUGCAUGCAUUGGAAGGAUCUGGAGCUCAGGACCCACUACCUCCCCGGCCCACUGCAAGCUUGAACAUUUGAUGGUGGACACCCCUCCCUGACUUUGUAUUAUGGUCCAGAUUUUGGAUGAAUCUCUAUAAUGGAGAUUGAACAGUGUCACUGGCGUGGGGGUUACCUUCCCACUAUGUCCCCCAGAAGACAUGAGGCCACAGACUGCAGUGCCCGUGGACAGAGGAGCUGUGGGGAUGGAAGUGUGAUUGCUUCAUUCAAAUGCACGCCCCGGUGCGUGUGCGUCUCUUCUGAUGCAGCGCCCCAUGGGCCCCUGGAUCCUCCUGGAAUCCGUGAUCCCUGUUGCUCCCUGGCGGAGUUUUCUAGUCCCUCUUACUUGAAGCAUGUCUUUCAGAGCCCGGCACCACCCAAGUUGGGUAUCUGGUGAAUUCUGUGGUCUGCAUGUCCAUGUUUGUGACAUUCUGGGAAGGGUGGCCCAGGCUGUGAUUUGCCAUCUACUGCAGGCUAUGGAUGGUAUUCAGAAGGGAGGGGAGAUGCUGUGUGCGUGUUCUGAAGGGUUUCCCACUAAACAGACCAACCCUCUCCAUAACUAUUUGAUUUUUACUUUAUCUCCUCGUUGACUUCACAGUGUCAGUGCAGUUUGUGUAAACAUCUCUAUGGGGUGAUGCAUGCAGAUAAAUGUUUAUGUGAACAUAUAAAGUCUGCAUGUGUGGG